rnacentral:rRNA from 1 species
CCUACGGGAGGCAGCAGUGGGGAAUAUUGCGCAAUGGGCGAAAGCCUGACGCAGCGAAGCCGCGUGAGGGAUGAAGGUCUUCGGAUCGGUAACCUCUGUCAGCAGGGAAGAAAGGUCACUGUGCUAAUCAGCAGUGAAUUGACGGUACCUGCAAAGGAAGCACCGGCUAACUCCGUGCCAGCAGCCGCGGUAAUACGGAGGAUGCGAGCGUUAAUCGGAAUUACUGGGCGUAAAGGGUUCGUAGGCGGUAUGUCCAGUCAAGAGUGAAGUUCCCGCGCUCAACGUGGGAACUGCCUUUGAAACUGGCAAACUGGAGUGUGGGAGAGGAUAGUGGAAUUCCAGGUG